GCAGAGAAUCACUUCCUCUUGAUACCACCACUGAGUAUGCUUGAUUUAGCUUUCCAUUCCAGUCCUGGACAAUUUCAAAACUCCUAAGGUGAGUUUGGAGUGAGAAAUCACCUAUCAACACCAGGCUGGAUGAGGCCUAAUUAAAAGCAUUUCUAUGAUAUUGCGGGGAAGAAUAGUCUGCAGUCAGCAGUGACAGUAGAAUGGGCUCUUCCAGGAUGACAGCAUUCCCUAACCAUGGGCACGUGAAAACAACAUGAACAUGAAAACAAUACAGCCAUUUACUAUUGCUCUCUCCAAGACAACUCGCAAGCCAAGCUCAUACAGCAUGGGAUAUUCAGUGGAGAAUGACACUACCAUUAACUGUUCAUUUAACUCAGGAACCACACUGAUGUCAAAGCACCUGCCUUUAUAUCCUGUUAAUGUAACAGCAACUUGUUGGUACUUCACAAAUUGGCAUUAUUUAUAACUGCACUGUUUUACAAACACAGCCUACAGUUAAACUAGUAGCAUGCCCAUGGUUUUUAGCCAUGGUAACAUUACUGUAUUGGCUUCAUAGUUGCAUUACAGUUUGUAAUACUUACUAGAAGGAAUUGGGCUAAUGAUGAUUUAAUUAAAUCAGCAUGGACUAAUGAUUCUGUAUGUAUGCAUGAAUUUGCGAAGAAGUAAGAGACAAUUCAAAUAUAUGAUUGAAGGUCGGAACGAACAUGGUCAUGCCUCCAAGUUACUAGAACUCCAAUUGCUAGAACCAUCUAUUUACUUGAAUAUAUAUCGGAUUAGUACCUACAUACAAGAUUUUUGCAUCAUUUUACACUUUGCAGUACAGUUACAUUAAUGAUGCAUAUAGAUUGUUUUACUAAUGUGCUUUAUCGAUACUUUGUCUAAGCUUUAAACGAUAUGUACAGUAUUUUGAAAAUUACUUUGUAAAUUUUUUUGAUUAUCAUAUUCUGUGACAUUAGUUAUAAUCU